UUUUGUUCGGUCGAGCGCAUGAAGCGGAAUGAUUGUGCUUUCGUAUAUUUUCGUAGCCCGAACCCAAAAAGUGAGGAGACGAGACGACACUACGUGUCCGGUCUACAUAUGUGUUCUCUGGUUAGUGCUAUUGAUUAGAGGAUCUGAGCUCAAAGCUCCUUCAGAGAGCUCACCAAUGCCUAUUUUUUAGCAGCAGGAGCAUUACUUUAUAUGUUAUGCACUGAUGAAGGUAAUACCAGGAAUACUUGAAUGCUAGCUCUUUUGCUGUUAUAUUUUAAAUUUUUCAAUAAUUUUGUAUAUUGUUCUGUUGUUUAAGUGUUUGCGUUUCAAUUUUAUUUUAUUUUAUUUUCAAUAAAUUUGUACAGUCAGAUUAUAAUCUAUGA